rnacentral:SRP_RNA from 1 species
GCCGGGGCCCCCGGAGGUGUGGCUGGAAAACCCCGUCAGGACCGAGAGGUAGCAGCGGUAUUCAGACCCCAUCUGCCGGGCCAGCCUCGGCGGC